CCUACGGGGAGCAGCAGUGGGGAAUAUUGCACAAUGGGGGAAACCCUGAUGCAGCGACGCCGCGUGAGUGAAGAAGUCUUUCGGUAUGUAAAGCUCUGUCAGCAGGGAAGAAAAUGACGGUACCUGACCAAGAAGCCCCGGCUAACUACGUGCCAGCAGCCGCGGUAAUACGUAGGGGGCAAGCGUUAUCCGGAUUUACUGGGUGUAAAGGGAGCGUAGACGGGAGGGCAAGUCUGGAGUGAAAGGCGGGGGCUCAAACCCCGGACUGCUCUGGAAACUGCCAGUCUGGAGUGCAGGAGAGGUACGUGGAAUUCCUGGUGUAGCGGUGAAAUGCAUAGAUAUCAGGAAGAACACCAGUGGCGAAGGCAGCGUACUGGACUGUAACUGACGUUGAGGCUCGAAAGCGUGGGGAGCAAACAGGAUUAGAUACCCCUGUAGUC
rnacentral:rRNA from 1 species